UAUGAUGUUUUUAUAGAGGUACACGUUGUUUCAUUAUUUUUAUUCAAUGAGCAUCUUUUACGGCGAUAGGAGAAAAUUUCAUUAAAUAUUUUUAAAUUAUAUAGAUAUAUCAAGAACCUUGGUGGAGUCCUCUAUAUGGUCCCUUGCUUCUCUAUCAACCACUUCUUAAUUAUUUAGUUUUCAAUGAAGAAUUCUUUUCCAUGAGGUCCCCUUAGGUAGGUAAUUUUCUUUUAUCAAAAAAUUGAUAUUAGUAUUAUUUGUGUUCAACCCUAAAACAUGAAAUGUCAAAUGGAACACUUUAGUCUAUUAAUGAUAUAUAUGGCAUGCAUUUAACUAUCAUCCUAAUCUAGUGUAUAUAUAGUUGGUACUUGAUUAUCUGUAAUUUCACCUAUGAAUUGCUAGUAGAUCAUUAUUUUAUUAUUAAACAUGUUUCAUUGUGGAUUUUCCUUAAAGGAUGAACUUAUCAGAAGAUUGCAAAUGUUUUACAAGAGAGCAAAUGGAAGAUCACCAUUUACUGAGGCUUGAUAUAUAUGAAGCAAAAUAUAGAAGGCUAUACUAUCAGAUCAAUGAUUUACCAGGAAAACCGGUGGCGAUUUACAAAAAUUGAACCAUCAACCAAAAAUUAUGCUGUCAGAAGAUUGAGAUGAGAAGGAUAGACAGAUAAUCCUGCUCGAAAUGUAACAUUUUCCAAGCAUCAUUCUUCUAGGCAAGCAAUAGGUUGGAUGAGUUCUACCCAAAUCCCUAACAGGCCUCUCAAAGAAACAACCCAGAGAAGGGGGAAGCAGCAUACCGAUCAUUUAUUCCUGAGAAGGAAAAGAAAAAUAGUGAGGAAAUGCAAAAGAGGGUAGAUAGGUGACAACCAUGGCACCUCAAUUUUAUGGAGCUUUUCACUACUACAGAACUGAAAUGGUUUCAAAUAAGAGUCAAUGGCCUAUAGUUUUAGCUGGAAUAUAUCAGUGGGUUUCCCAAGAGAGGUGUCUAUGACGAUGAUGAUGACGACAACAACGACGACAGCAACAACAACAAUAACGUUGCACCUAACAAUGAAGAACAGGUCCCAUUCACUCGCAGGCUCGUGAACUCUGCUACCAUUUCAGAAGAUUUAAUUUUCUCUUGUCUUCUUACUAUUGUGUUUCUAACUUGUUAGCGUGUGUUGGCAUAUUAUGAUGGCAAAAGAUCUGAAAAGGCACAUUGACAAUGUAAAAGAUGGUUCUGUCACAAUCUAUUGAGAUCAGU